UUUGAAUUUGACCCCGGAACAAAAUUAAAGGUUCGAGUUCGUCUCCCGCUUUCGCGAUAGCGACGCCCCGUUACCAUAGCAAUGGACAGAAGCAAAUGGGAAAGCAUGCUUACCUAUUUUCAGGCAUUUGCACGAGGAUACUUGGUGAGAAACGAAGUCCGUCGAGCCAGAGAAGACUUUGAAGUCAUUGUCAAAGAAAUUGAUGGAGGCUUGUCCCAUUUACAGUGGAGGGAUACGGUCAUAUCUAUUCCCCACUUCACAGACACUCACGGCCCGUUUCCACGACCCAGCAGCUCAACCAAGGAGCCAGGACUAAAUGUCAGCAGCCCAUCAGCAGGAGCAGCAACGUGCUUGUCAAACGAGAGGGUUAGAGAUCAGCAUAUCCUGCUACAGAGGAUAGAAGCUGAGAGAGAUAACUCACAAGCCAAAGACCAUGACCAUCCGUCCAGGGUCUGUUUCUCCAGCAGCCACGUUGGAGGGGAUGGGGAAGAGGAAAGACAGAGGGAUGUGAGUGGUGGUUUGAUGGAAAGCACAGGAGACUCCACCUCUGUCUGGAGCAGUCUGGACAUGGACAUGAACUAUGGUCACUCUCACAAAGGUUCCCAGCAGUUCUGCUUAGCUCAGGAGGUCCCCCGGACCCCAGAGACCCUUCGUCUCCAUAGGAACACCCUGACCAUGGAGCUGGUCUGGCUCCAACAGGCCAUUGACAGCAGGAAAAAGUACUUGGCACUGAAGGAUAGGCUGAGCAUAUCCUGACAGCAGACUAUGAACUGGACUAGAGUACAUCUGGGUGCAGUAAAUAAAUAGCUUCCAACUAGUAUUUAUCAUGUGUUUUAAGAAAUGCUGU
rnacentral:lncRNA from 1 species